UAUACAGCUAGUAUAUCAAUGUAUACAUGCUGUAUCUCAGCCUGCUUUCAGCUUUCCAGAACCUGUUAAUCCAAUUUCAGGCCCUAUUUGAUGCUUUCCACAUGUACACCUGCUCUCGAUGGCCUGGCUGACUCGAAUGACAAAGAAAAGAGUUUUUAUGGCUCAACUCGGAAAUGCAAAGAAGAGAAGUCCAUCAUGGACUCGGGAGGGGUUCAUACAACAAGCGAAAAGAGACAACAUUAGCAUUCGAAAUGGUGCAACAGGUACAAAAGAAAUAACCGAACAUGUCAACACACAAAGAAAAGAGAGCAAAUGGGCAGAAAAUAUAAGCCAUGAGAGAUUAUAGCUUGCGCGAGAUAAAAUUACUACACAGAAAUCCAAGACAAUCCAAAUAUACAUCACCAAAGGCAUGCUUGACAAGGAUAACAAUUCUAUACAUGUUAAUGGGAAUGCUUGAGUCGCAUAAAAAAUGAAUUAAGAAUGGACAUGCGAUGACUCUAAUCCAUACUCGAAACAAUAACUUCUAAAGCCAACAUAAUUACAGAGAAGAGGAGAGCAAACCAGUGACUUGACUAUAUGCUACACCAAGAAAGAAACAACCUAUAACAUGCUCCUAAAAUAAGACCCAACUCCUCGAUUUAGAUAAGAAUUAGCGAACUUAAACCUCGUUAAAGAUCUAACUCAAACGACUACAUUCUAAUCCAAAAAGACUCAUCUCGCACUUGUAUUAAAUCAGACCGUCAACUAGUUCAUUAUCUUCACGGAAUGGAGAGGCUUCACCUUCAAACUUUUCUAUUAACUAGUUCAAAUAAUCAUGCUACAUCUAAACAUGAAAAGCAGAUUAGCUUUCAAAAGUAGGAAUAAUACACGAGAAGUAUUUGAAUGCAUAUUUUAAUAACAUAUAUUUAGCAGGGGAUAUACAGGGAAAAAUAAUUCUAAGUACUGGAGACCAAAUGAGCAUGAAGAGAACUCACACUAAGCAAAUAAAUAAAUAAAAAAAGACAACGAGUAAGAUUAUCGUGCAAUAUACGAAUCGAUUUUAGAUGAGUAUAACGAUUUACAGUCAAAGAAUUAUAUACACCAAAACUUACAGCUUAAAUUUAAGUCAACUAAAACAACGCUAUAAGAGGUCUCAAAUUAAGACAUUAAGAACUCGAAGGACAGAAACAUACUACGAUGAAUAACACCAUGUCAAAAUAGCAAAGGCGAAAAGAGUAUUGUAAAGGGAAGAGCAUUACCUCUUCCGGGGCAGUGAGACUAGGACAAACGAGCUGAGAGUAGCGACUCUUCUAUCACGAAAUCUCAAUAUGAACAACAAGCCAA
rnacentral:lncRNA from 1 species